AGGAGGAAGAGGUGUGGGAGGAAGGUC
rnacentral:piRNA from 1 species